AGGCUCCAAAAGCUUGUUACUUGCUUGUAGUCAAACAGAAGGCAGAGCUGCGAAUCAAAUCCAGCACCAGAAUUAUGGAACAUUUAUCAACAGCCUAAAAUAAAGACAACACGAGGAGAAUUUGGUUGCUUAUAUAGAUUCAAGGUACAAUCCUGCUGGAUUCUGGGAUUACAGGACUGUAGACAAAAGAGAAAUCAUCAUGGACUGUUCACUGGACAAAAUUUCAUGGAGAGGAGAAGACCUUUGGCGGUUCAUGGAUGUUCUAUAAUAAGUUAGAAGAAAUAUCACAGUGUGCAUGCACAGAAGUACGACCAUGUGAAGAGGUAGCAAGAGAGCAGCAAUCUACAAGCCAAGGAAAGAGGCCACAGAGGAAACCAACCCUGCCAGCAUCUUGAUCUUGGACUUCCAGCUUCCAGAACUGUCUGCUUUGCUCCCUCUAGAACCAGGGACCCCACUCCCAUGCCGACAGUAUGGGCUGCUGUCUUCAGGACCAUUGCAAGUGUCCUUCACGGUUCGGUUCACAUUUCACAAGCCCCAUGAAGUCUAUCUGGAUUUUCGAUGGAUGUCUUGCCUUUUCCUCUACACACUACAGGAAGAGUGGCCACCCCUGCCAAGGGCCUAGUAUAGUACCCUAUACAUGUAGCUGAUCAGUUGAUUGUUACUGAUCAUAUGUAUCCUGCAUCAUGUUAUAAAAAAUUAACACAGUGCUUGG
rnacentral:lncRNA from 1 species